ACCUGGGUGGCUCAGUCGGUUGAGCGUCCAACUUCAGCUCAGGUCAUGAUUCUUGCAGCUUGUGAGUUCAAACCCCACAUCAGGUU
rnacentral:tRNA from 1 species